CCUACGGGUGGCAGCAGUGGGGAAUAUUGCACAAUGGGGGAAACCCUGAUGCAGCGACGCCGCGUGAGUGAAGAAGUCAUUCGUGAUGUAAAGCUCUUUCAGCAGGGGAGAAAAUGACGGUACCUGAGUAAGAAGCAGCGGCUAACUACGGGAACGCAGCCGCGGUAAUACGUAGGGAGCAAGCGUUAUACGGAUUUACUGGGUGUAAAGGGGGCGUAGACGGCAGUGCAAGUCUGGAGUGAAAGGCGGGGGCUCAACCCCCGGACUGCCCUUGAAACUGUACGUCUUGAGUGCAGGAGAGGUACGUGGAAUUCCUGGUGUAGCGGUGAAAUGCGUAGAUAUUAGGAGGAACACCAGUUGCGAAGGCAGCUUACUGGACUGUAACUGACGUUGAGGCUCGAAAGCGUGGGGAGCAAACAGGAUUAGAUACCCCAGUAGUC
rnacentral:rRNA from 1 species